GACGAACGCUGGCGGCGUGCCUAAUACAUGCAAGUCGAGCGGAUGGAUGGAAGCUUGCUUCCUGAAGUCAGCGGCGGACGGGUGAGUAACACGUGGGCAACCUGCCCCUAUGAUCGGGAUAACUUCGGGAAACCGGAGCUAAUACCGGAUAUGAUUACUUCUCACAUGAGAGGUAAUGGAAAGACGGUUUCGGCUGUCACUUAGGGAUGGGCCCGCGGCGCAUUAGCUAGUUGGUGAGGUAACGGCUCACCAAGGCAACGAUGCGUAGCCGACCUGAGAGGGUGAUCGGCCACACUGGGACUGAGACACGGCCCAGACUCCUACGGGAGGCAGCAGUAGGGAAUCUUCCGCAAUGGACGAAAGUCUGACGGAGCAACGCCGCGUGAGUGAAGAAGGUUUUCGGAUCGUAAAACUCUGUUGUUAGGGAAGAACAAGUACCAUAGUAACUGAUGGUACCUUGACGGUACCUAACCAGAAAGCCACGGCUAACUACGUGCCAGCAGCCGCCGUAAGAC
rnacentral:rRNA from 1 species